GUUCCUGUAGCACAAUGGGCCAGACCCCCUUGAAAAAUUCCUGUGUGCGCUACUGCGCGCUGGACUUCUAAUCCAAAGGUCGUGGAUUCGAAUCCCACCUGGGAUG